rnacentral:rRNA from 1 species
AGUGAACGCUGGCGGCUGGCCUAACACAUGCAAGUCGAACGGCAGCACAGUAAGAGCUUGCUCUUACGGGUGGCGAGUGGCGGACGGGUGAGGAAUACAUCGGAAUCUACUUUUUCGUGGGGGAUAACGUAGGGAAACUUACGCUAAUACCGCAUACGACCUACGGGUGAAAGCAGGGGAUCUUCGGACCUUGCGCGAUUGAAUGAGCCGAUGUCGGAUUAGCUAGUUGGCGGGGUAAAGGCCCACCAAGGCGACGAUCCGUAGCUGGUCUGAGAGGAUGAUCAGCCACACUGGAACUGAGACACGGUCCAGACUCCUACGGGAGGCAGCAGUGGGGAAUAUUGGACAAUGGGCGCAAGCCUGAUCCAGCCAUACCGCGUGGGUGAAGAAGGCCUUCGGGUUGUAAAGCCCUUUUGUUGGGAAAGAAAAGCAGCAGGUUAAUACCCCGCUGUUCUGACGGUACCCAAAGAAUAAGCACCGGCUAACUUCGUG